GCCUGGCUAGCUCAGUCGGUAGAGCAUGAGAUUCUUGGGUCGUGGGUUCGAGCCCCACGUUGGGCG